UGCCAGAUAAAGGACAGGGUAAGCCCUGACAAAAGGCACAAGAUCAUCUGUCUUUAGGCUUUGGCUUUUCAGCAUUCAGGAAAAAGGCAACAUUGUCUGCAAAUGUUGAACAAUGAUUGGAAAAAGUUUUCAUUUUAAGAGCACAGAAGAGUUUUGUAAAGCUGAUAUAGAGAAUAUACCGUAGUGGGAAAAGCUAAUUUGCAUAGAAUUGCAAGCAGGAGUA